GACGAACGCUGGCGGCGUGCUUAACACAUGCAAGUCGAACGGUGAACCUCUUCGUUGGGGAUCAGUGCCGAACGGGUGAGUAACACGUGGACAACCUGCCCCCGGCUCUGGGAUAACUCCAAGAAAUUGGGGCUAAUACCGUAUGUUCACCGCUUCCCGCGUGGGUGGUGGUGGAAUGGGUUUCCGGCUGGGGAUGGGCCCGCGGCCUAUCAGCUUGUUGGUGGGGUAGUGGCCUACCAAGGCGACGACGGGUAGCCGGCCUGAGAGGGUGACCGGCCACACUGGGACUGAGACACGGCCCAGACUCCUACGGGAGGCAGCAGUGGGGAAUAUUGCGCAAUGGGCGGAAGCCUGACGCAGCGACGCCGCGUGGGGGAUGACGGCCUUCGGGUUGUAAACCUCUUUCAGCAGGGACGAAGCGCAAGUGACGGUACCUGCAGAAGAAGCACCGGCUAACUACGUG
rnacentral:rRNA from 1 species